UUCUGUGACUCCAGACAGGAUCCAAGAAGGAGGUGUACAGUCUCCUCCAGGGGUUUUUUGGAGAGUUCCUUUACCCUUCUGUGUUAGCCUCUUAAAGUACCUUGACAACCUUAAAAGGGCAC
rnacentral:snoRNA from 1 species